AUGGACUUAAACAACAAUAAAAAGUUAAUUCAAAAGGCAGUUCCAAAGUUAAGAGUUAAGACUUAUGCAACAGUAUUAAAUUUGGAGUUCAGCUUUAAAAGUAGUGCCGACUCAAAAUGGUCAUCAGUUAACCGAUUUCGGUGUGGGCGCAUGAUCAAGCCUCCACAGCUGAAAAGACGUUCAACAGCUGCACUUGCAGGCAGUACGGUGUUCAGCUUCAAAGCCAUUUGCUUCAAAGGUGCAGUACAUUGUCCAUUGUAAACUGUGGCAUCAAUAUUAAAAGUCAUCGUCAUCAUCGUUUUUUUGGAAAAU